UUGGGCGGAUUUCCAUUUAUUUUGGCGUAUUUUGAAAUACGUUGAAAUAUGCACAGAAAUGGCAGGUGGGAGAUUUGCUGCAGCGGUGUAUUUGAGCUUUAGCAUAGCCAUUUCAAUCUUACGCAGCUGGGGAUCUCGAUGGCGUAUAAGGAGGACAUAUUUGCCUGACACACGCUCCUUCUCUUCUUACAAGCUUACAUUUUGGUGAACUGGUAAAAUGGAACACCAGUUUACCCAGUGAGGACACACUUCAUAAUCUUGUGGACAGACAGGAAAAUGUUUCACCAAGAGGUCAAUGACCAUGUGGAUGGAGGAUGACCAACAUCAAGAUCCUGUCAUGGCCAGAUCAAUCUCCAGACCUGAACCUCAUCAGAAACAUCUGAAAUGUGAUCAGGAGGAAUAUGGAAGGUCUCAAACCAUCAAACAAAGCUGAGCUGCUUGAUUCUUUGCAUCAGGAGGGGCAUAAAUUAUUGCAUUAAAUCUUGAUGUUUUGAAUGUUUUGAAUGUCUCUUAGUGUAUGCUAAUUUGGUCAAGUCUCUUGCAAAUUGCUCUGGGUGAGAUGGCGGAGGUGAAAAGGAUACGCUGUUGUAUCCUUGCUUAAGAAACCUCCUGCCUCCUUGAUUCGCAUUUAAAGAAUUUAGACGCUCUUGUGGAUGGCCAAGUCAACCAGUGAGUCAUGUAUUAAAAAACAUUAAUAAUUAGCACUUUGAUAUGUGAGAUUUUUUAAUCUGCAAACAGAAAACAUGAAACAGGUUGAAUCUCAGCUCUGCUACCGGCAGGCUGGGCGCCUACGCGAACAAUGAUUGGCCUGUUCGCAGGGAGGGUGUCGGAGGGGAUUCCUCAUAACUGAUGUUACCUCUGUGUUACAACAGCGAUGCUCAUUUCAGUAAUAGUUACCCACAGAAGCUGUCUCCCCUCUGAACCUCUAACCAUUAACUCGGUUCUGCUUGUAAAUAAUUCUCUUUGGUCCCAGCAACUAAGCUUGGACUGAGACUCACAUUCUCAUGUGCACAUGUUUUCUCCUCUACAUAAACUCCAUCCUCCCUGUAAUAAACUGGAAGCUUUC